rnacentral:rRNA from 1 species
UACGUAGGGGGCAAGCGUUGUCCGGAUUUAUUGGGCGUAAAGAGCGUGUAGGCGGUUAUGCAGGUCCGCUGUGAAAACUGGAGGCUUAACCUCCAGACGUCGGUGGAAACCGUAUGACUAGAGUCCGGAAGAGGAGAGUGGAAUUCCUGGUGUAGCGGUGGAAUGCGCAGAUAUCAGGAAGAACACCCGUGGCGAAGGCGGCUCUCUGGAACGCAACUGACGCUGAGACGCGAAAGCGUGGGGAGCAAACAGG